CGGAACGUCUAUCCCCGUCUAUCCCAUAGACGUUCAUACCCUACCUUUGUUUCGUUGCAUUUUUAAAUUAAACUUUUUAACUAACAACAGUGGAACUAGAUCUAUUUUUACUUUAUAAAAGAGUUCUUCAUCCUUUGUUUACAUAGAAAUUAGAUCUACAGAAAAAUUAAUUGAAUUUGUUCUAAAUCAAGACGAAAGAAAAGUAAAGUACCCAAUGCAAGAAUAUUUGUUAAUACAGUCAUCUGAAGAAGACAUUAAAGUGUCACUGAUGGCUAAUAUAGAGCAUGAGUCCAGUCUUGACCUGGGCAAUGUAAUAAAACAUGAGAAGAAAGAAAGUCUUAGUGAAGCAUGUUUGAUAACACAGUCAUGUGAACUACAAGACAUAAAAUUGUCACAUGUAAAAAUUGAAAAGACUGAAGGAGAUGAAGUAACUUCUUCUAUGCAGCCAUUUGAAAACUACUGCCAUGGUCAAACUUGUGCUGUGACCCCAGGAUAUCAGGCAGAUAUUCUAAAGCAGGAGAUAAAAAUGUCUUGUACUACUGAAAGUGAUGAACCAUUGUCCUUAGCAUCAAGACUACUAGCUAUGUCAAAGAAGGCAGACAGAAACUUUUAUCCAGUGCCCAUCAUUUUGCCAAACUUAAAACUGACUGGACACAUACCUCUCCCAGAACUGCCAUUGAGCGAGAUAAAAAACAUGAAGCAAGAAAAAGAAAUGACGUCAACAAAUGUAUUUCUAAAGGAUAUGCAUGAUAAUAUGGAACCAAGCCUAUCUAAUGAAACUGUUUUGGACAGGAUCAAGAAAUCUACAUGCACUGAUAAUCAUCAAAUAAAUAAACUUUUCACUUGCCAAAUGUGUCAAAAAGGAUUUUCUAGCUCUAAAAUAUUACAAAAUCAUGAGUUGAUUCAUACUGGUGAACAACCAUUUAAAUGUCAAAUAUGUCAGAAAGGAUUUUCUUGUUCUUUUGAUUUGAAGAAACACCAACAGACUCAUACUGAUGAAAAAACAUUUAAAUGCCAAAUAUGUCAGAAAGGAUUUUCUAGACCUAGUAUUAUGAAAUACCAUCAACAGACUCAUACUGGUGAAAAACCAUUUAAAUGUCAAAUAUGUCAGAAAGGAUUUUCUAGACCUAGUAUUAUGAAAUACCACCAACAGACUCAUGCUGGUGAAAAAACAUUUAAAUGUCAAAUAUGUCAGAAAGGAUUUGUUCAUUCUUCUAGUUUGAAACUCCACCAACAGAUUCAUACUGGUGAAAAACCAUUUAAAUGUCAAAUAUGUCUGAAAGGAUUUUCUCAAUCUAUUAAUUUGAAGCACCACCAACUGACUCAUACUGGUGAAAAACCAUUUAAAUGUCAUAUAUGUCAGAAAGGACUUUCUCGUUCUUCUGAUUUGAAGAAACACCAACUGAAUCAUACUGGUGAAAAACCGUUUAAGUGUCAAAUAUGUCAGAAAGGAUUUACUAGGUCAAGUCAUUUGAAGCGCCAUCAACUGAUUCAUACUGGUGAAAAACCAUUUAAAUGUCAAAUAUGUCAGAAAGGAUAUUAUCAUUCUUCUCAUCUGAAAGAACACCAACACACUCAUACUGAUGAAAAACCAUUUAAAUGUCAAAUAUGUCAGAGAGGAUAUACUCAUUCUUUUCAUUUGAAACAACACCAACUGAAUCAUACUGGUGAAAAACCAUUUAAGUGUCAAAUAUGUCAUAAAGGAUUUACUAAGUCAAAUCAUAUGAAGCGCCAUCAACUGAUUCAUACUGUUGAAAAAACAUUUAAAUGUGAAAUAUGUCAGAAAAGAUUUUCUAAUUCUUAUAGUUUGAAAAAACACCAACAGACUCAUACUGGUGAAAAACCAUUUAAAUGUGCAAUAUGUCAAAAAGGAUUUCCUCAUUCUUAUAAUUUGAAACAACACCAACUCACUCAUACUGGUGAAAAACCAUUUAAGUGUCAAAUAUGUCUGAAAGGAUUUUCUCAGUUAUCUCAUUUGAAGCGCCACCAACUGACUCAUACUGGUUAAAAACCAUUUAAAUUUCACAUAUGUGGAAGAGGAUUCUCUAGUGCUUCACAUUUGAAACAACACUGCUUGGUUUGUACUUAUCAUUUGAAUGUCCAAAGUGUCAGAAAGGAUUUACUUUCUAUUCUAAUUUCAAACAGCACCAGUUAAUUUAUUAUGGCGAAAGACCAUUUAAAUGUGACAUUUGGAAAAGGAACUUUUAGCAUUUUACGUUUGAAACAGCACCACCCAGUUCAUUAUUUUGAAAACAUUCAUAUGGAAAAAAGAGGGGUUUCUAAUUUUUCUGACCAUUUGAAUAUCAAAGAAAGGAUUUUCACAUCAAUGCAAACUGGUUCAUAGAAGUUCCCCUUUUCAGACCUUGUGAUCUAUAGGACAGAUGAUGUUAAGGUUAUCUGCUUCUUUGGCCAAUGGUUAAGAGGCAGGGUGUAAUGUGGCAAGCGCAAUGACCAACUGCCUUUACUUUCCCAACUCAAGUCAGGAACCUGUUGGGUGGUUUGAAGGGCGACCUAAAAAUCCAGAAGUUUAAAAUCCAACACUUCACCAAAAAGUGAACCCAAGACCCCGGGUUUGGAAGCCAAGCACUUAGCCACCAUGCUCCUCAACUGGUUCAUACAAGUCAAUAAAACUUGUAAAAAUUUUCACAAAGGAUUUUCUUUGUUUACUUAUUGUAUUUGAAACAGGAUUAAUUGGAUUUAAAUGUGACAGUUUUCGAAAAGAUUUGUUACCUUCUCAUUUUGGAAAAUUCACUUUACAGUUCAUAUUGGUGAAAAAUUACAUUAAUAUUUUAGGGAAAUUUGUAACUCUCUUUUUAAUAUGUCAAUUCAACUUCAUAGAAACUGGAACUUUCUGGUUGGGUGGGUUUAAAAACCUGGACACAGAUCUCAAGAAUGGCUUUUUACAAUUUUCCUAAAAAUUUGACUCUUGUUGUAUAUCAUGACAAAAGAAUUACUACCUUGUUGGCCAAAAUCUAGCAGAUCUAUAAAUUCCCUAAACACAGAUUCUUUCUUACGAGGGAUUGGGGAAUCUGGUGGGGUAAAAAUGAUCUAACAUUCAUCAGUGAUUAAGAUAAAAUAAUCAAUCCAUUUAAGUUGUCAAAGGAGACUUUUUUUUCCUUCUUCCUAUUGUUAUACACUCUGUUUUUUCAUAGUAGUGAGAGACCAUUUAAAAGUUAAAUAAAUUAGACCUAUAUAAAUAUAAUCAUCUAAAUGCCUACGGUUCGAUCAUAUUCUUUUAAAAUUGUAGAAAUAUUUAUCCAUAAUAAAAUCUGUAAUAAGGAAUAUGUUUCUUAUAUAAACGUUAAUGCACAAUAAAAAAAAGAAAGAUGUCUAAAUUAAUACGUAUGCUGCUAUUUUUGCAAUUUAAGGGGACUCCAACCAGACCCUGAACUAUUUAUACACAUGCAACAUCUAGCUCUAGAUCCACUAUUUUUUCUGUAAUUAAUGUAAUUAUGAUGUAAUUAAUAAGAGUAUAUUUAUUAAUUAUAUAAUAAUAUACUAUUCUAUUCAAAACUGCUUCUAGAAAUAGUGUAUAGUUGUUUAUUCACUCUACUGGACACAUACCUCUCCCAGAACUGCCAUUGAGUGAGAUAAAAAAACAUGAGGCAAGAAAAAGAAAUGACUUCAACAAAUGUAUUUCUAAAGGACAAACACUAAAAAAUAACAACUCUUGUCACAUACUUUAUAAAAUUUCACUGGUCCCAUUUUUCAUGUCUGGAUAGCUUAUAAUAGCUUCUUGUGAUAAGGAACAUCUGAAACAUGCAAAAUAAGAAAAUUAAAAAAAAGCACAAAACAAAAUAAAUUAUCACUUGUGAAUCGGUCUAUCCUUUCUUUCCAUAAACAUAUCAUGAACAGUCAUUAGAUUCACACUUGGGUGCUCAGAAAUGUAUUUCUAAAGGACAUGCAUGAUCACAUGGAAGGGAGCCUAUCCAAUAAAAUUGUUUCAGAUAAGCUCAAGAAUUCUACUUGCAAUGAUGAUCAUCAAAUAGAUAAACUUUUCACUUGCCAAAUUAGUCUAAAAGUAUUUUCUAACUCUAAAACAUUACAAAAUCAUGAAUUAAUUCAUUGCUGGUGAAAAAACAUUUAAAUGUCAUGUUUAUGAAAAAUCAUUUUUUUUAUACAGGUGACGAACUGUUUAAAUCAGUGGUUCCCAAACUUUUUUGUCCCGUAGACCCCUUGCCAUGUUUUCUGGUUUUCGGUAGACCCCCUGCUCAACUUGCACAUUUUUGAAAAUUCAUUAACAUUUUCUUAAACAAAUUUCUAACUGUAGUGAGUUGAAGAGUGAAGGAAAACUUAACUCAAACCUCUGCUGCCUUGCUACUAUACCCAAACAUGGGAAAGGUCUCGUUGGUCAACCCAAGAAAAUAUUAAGAACGGUGACUCUUAGCGCCAUGUAUUCCUGGGCCGUCCCCUCUUUCUCUUUCCUUGGGGGUUUCAGGUUAGGGCUUGCCUUGUUAUGUUGGAUGCAGACUUGCGAAGUGUGUGACCUAUCCAUCUCCAGCGUCUCUGAAGGAUAUCUACUUCAAUGAGCUGCUGCUUUGUUCUUUGCCACAGUUCCUCAUUCGAGAUCUUGUCUGGCCAGCGGAUUAUAAGAAUCUUCCUCAGGCAGGUAUUGAUGAAUACCUUAUUUUUUUCAUGGUGGUGAUGAUGGUCUCCGCGAUUUGGAAGCAGAUGCCAACCAGAUGGGCAAGACGUGCGGACAGUUGGAGAGAUUCGCCCAGAACCGAGAUGCCUGGAGGAAGCUGGUUGUUGGCCUAUGCUCAGAAGGAACCACAGGCAUAGAUGAGCUGAGAUGGUGACCAUUAGACAGUUUGUAGCACACAGCGCUUGUCAGACCAAACUGUAUUUAUGUCUUUUGCAAUGAUUUACAUAAGAAGCUUUCAAUUUUAUAACUCAUGCCACCGAAGCGACCUUGAACUGUAUUGUCGCUUAAAGAAAUGCUUUUAAUAAUAACAGAUGUAGGUUUGUGUAAAAUGGCUGGUAAAAUCAAUGUUGGACCUUUCCUGUUUUCCGUAUUUUACUUUAAGUAAUGAAAUCUUGUAAGACUCUCACAAACCAUCAUCUUCUCUACAUGAUGUCGAACAGAGAUUUUGUGGGUCUAUUUUGAACUUUGAGUGUUCAAAAGUUUUUCAAAUCUUAAUUUUUGUCAGGGUGGCAUUGUAUCAAAUGAUCCUCCAACGUAACUGGUUCAUAUCAUCAUAAAAAGUCACAUAGGCAACUGCUUGUUUGACAAGGAAGGAAGGAAUCCGAAUUUUAAAUAAUUAAUGCUGUACUGUCUACAUUUCUUUUCUUUUUUUUCUUCUAAAUAUUAGUUACAUGUAGACAAAAUUAAGCUAUUUAAAUAAGUAUUGAAAUUGAUUACAACAAUUUUUCGUUUGAAUAGCAGGAUAAAUAUUUAAAGGAUUAACGAAGGUACACAUCAUAUAUUGGUGUAUGAAAUAAUUACAUUAAUGGAAUGUGAACAUUAAGUAACUCGACCUGCUUAAAUGAAAUCUAUUAUCGUAGACCCCCGUGGACAUCUCAUAGACCCCCAGUUUAUUUUUUUACUUUCGUAGACCCCUUGGAGGUCUUCGUAGACCCUUGGGGUCUAUAUAGACCACUUUGGGAAUCAAUGGUUUAAAUACUAUGUAUGCCAACAAAAAUUUUCUCAUAUAUCAAAUUUGAAACACCACAAAAUGAUUCAUAUAGGUGAAACACCAUUUAAAUGUCAAAUAUGUCAGAAAGGAUUUUCUCAGUCUUGUAGUAAGCGCCACCACCAGUUGGUUCAUAUUGGUGAAAAAUCAUUUACCGGUAUAUGUCAAAUAUGUGAAAAAGGAUUUUCAUGCUUUGCUGAUUUGAAAAGACACGUUCAUACUCUUGAAAAAACAUUUAAAUGUCAAAUAUGUCAGAAAGGAUUUUCUCAUUCUUGUAGUUUGAAGCUCCACCACCUGACUCAUCAUCAUCAUUAUCAUCACUCCUUUGAGUUCCUCAUGGAAGAUAGGGCCUCGACAAAAACAUGCCACCCUCCACGGUCUCUCGCUAGUUUUUUAAUGGUUUCCCAGCUCUUCUCAGUCUUCUCUGCUUCUUCAAGUAAACUGACUCAUACUGGUGAAAAACCAUUUUAAUGUCAAAUAUGUCAGAAAGGAUUUCCUUCCCCUGGUAAUUUAAAAAGACACCAAAUGGUUCAUUCUGAUGAAAAAUCAAUUAAAUGUCCAAUAUGUCAGAAAGGAAUUUCUGAGUCUUCUAGUUUGGAGCGCCACCAACUGAUUCAUACUGGUACAAAACUAUUUAAAUGUCAAAUAUGUCAGUCAAUUCAUUUAAAGCACCACCAUUUGACUCAAACUGGUGAAAAAAACAUUAAAAUAUCAAAUAUGUCAAAAAGGAUUUUCUUAACCCUAGAAUUUAAAAAUACCAUCACCAGUUGGUUUAUACUGGUGAAAACCAUUUAAAUGCUUAAUAUGUCAGAAAGGAUUUUUGCAGUCUUGUAGUUCGAAGCACCACCAACUGACUUAUGAUCUAUAGGGCAGAUGAUGUUAAGGUCAUCUGUUUCUUGGGCCAACAGUUUACAAGCAGGGUUUCAUGUAGCCAUCACAAUGAUGAACUGACCUGGACACCGAUCUCAAAAAUGUCUCUUAUGAUUUUCCUAAAAAAUUGAUUCUCUUUAUAUAUUGUUGGGAAAAUAAUUGCUAGCUUGUUGGGGAUGUUGUUGGGUAAAAAAAUGUUUCCUUUUUUU